AAUAUAAGCACAAUCCUUCUUGUCGACGACGAGACUUUUCUUGCUCAGUAAGAGGUUUGAAACGUACCACAUCAAUUUGCAUAUCCUCUACUUCCGAAGGUAUGUGUUGAGGAGACGUCGGUGUUGCCAUUGAAUUGUAGUAACGUUGAGGCCCACUUGUGCGACUCUCGGAUCGAAAUUCAAAAAGUCGAUUGUCGCACUUCACAGCAAAGUCAAUUGCUUGACUCAAUGUUU
rnacentral:lncRNA from 1 species